rnacentral:rRNA from 1 species
GAUGAACGCUGGCGGCGUGCUUAACACAUGCAAGUCGAACGGAAAGGCCCAAGCUUGCUUGGGUACUCGAGUGGCGAACGGGUGAGUAACACGUGGGUGAUCUGCCCUGCACUUCGGGAUAAGCCUGGGAAACUGGGUCUAAUACCGGAUAGGACCACAUUUUGGAUGGUGUGGUGGAAAGUUUUUCGGUGUGGGAUGAGCUCGCGGCCUAUCAGCUUGUUGGUGGGGUAAUGGUCUACCAAGGCGUCGACGGGUAGCCGGCCUGAGAGGGUGUACGGCCACAUUGGGACUGAGAUACGGCCCAGACUCCUACGGGAGGCAGCAGUGGGGAAUAUUGCACAAUGGGCGCAAGCCUGAUGCAGCGACGCCGCGUGGGGGAUGACGGCCUUCGGGUUGUAAACUCCUUUCGCUAGGGACGAAGCGCAAGUGACGGUACCUGGAGAAGAAGCACCGGCUAACUACGUG